AAGAGAAACAAAACGGAAUUAGAAGAAAAAAAAAACAAGAGAAGAGAAGAGAAGAGAAAUUUAGGCUAGAAACAAGGAAAAAGCUACGAUUUUGGGAGGAGAAAAAGGCAGCCCAAAACGUUACCAAACAGUCCCUAAGUUUCAGCUGCGCUAAAGGAAAUUCCGAGGCAAGUUUUGGCGAGUUUUGGUGAAUUUCGGGAAAGGUUUAAGAGACGACGAGGCGAGCAUAGUUAAGAGUAAUCCGUAAGAGGUACAGAUGAUUGGUUUGCUGAUCCGCUCGCUUAGGACAUCCACCAUGUUGGUCGACAGUUCUCCUUUGUCCGGAGCCCUAUUUUGGUACUGACACUUUCUGUUGUAUAUAUAUAUAUACAUUGUUCAGGGUAC